rnacentral:rRNA from 1 species
AUUGAACGCUGGCGGCAUGCCUUACACAUGCAAGUCGAACGGUAACAGGUCUUCGGAUGCUGACGAGUGGCGAACGGGUGAGUAAUACAUCGGAACGUGCCUAGUAGUGGGGGAUAACUACUCGAAAGAGUGGCUAAUACCGCAUGAGAUCUACGGAUGAAAGCAGGGGAUCGCAAGACCUUGUGCUAAUAGAGCGGCCGAUGGCAGAUUAGGUAGUUGGUGGGAUAAAAGCUUACCAAGCCGACGAUCUGUAGCUGGUCUGAGAGGACGAUCAGCGACACUGGGACUGGGAAACGGCCCAGACUCCUACGGGAGGCAGCAGUGGGGAAUUUUGGACAAUGGGCGCAAGCCUGAUCCAGCAAUGCCGCGUGCAGGAUGAAGGCCUUCGGGUUGUAAACUGCUUUUGUACGGAACGAAAAGCCCUGGGUUAAUACCCUGGGGUCAUGACGGUACCGUAAGAAUAAGCACCGGCUAACUACGUGCCAGCCGCCGCGGUAA